AAGUCGAGCACACGUAUUUGCGGGCGCGCGCCUCCGUCCUCGUGAGUUCAAAGUGGAUUUUAACCGUUUACCUCCGACGACAGUUUUCAUUUCCAUGGCAAAUUCUAAGGUCAUUUUCUUGUUGUGUUUUGAUGUUUUCCAUUGGCUGAAGACUAAGAUGAGCCUGAAGAGGAGAUUUGGGAAGUCUUUGCUUUGCCAGAUCACCUGUGGUCGGGAUGUCUGCUAACAAGAUGCCUUGUUGGUCUGGGCGAGUUUGAAGUCUCUCACAGACAGUCCAGAAGGUCUGGAGUCCAUCUUAGCUUUUAUUGAUGCUGUCAUCAGGUUUUAAGUACAGUAUGAGCCAGAAUGGAAGGGUGUUGGUGGCCAUAAGAAGACUGUGAGCUAAACCUACAACAAAAUUCAUAUUUGCAGUUUUCCUAGAAUAUUUUUUUCUAUUCAGAUGAAUAAAAUUACUUUAAAAUAUUA